GUUUAACUUAGAAGAAGUGAUCACAAGUAGACACUCAUGAACACUCAUCACUUUCCAGCUAAUACCACACUGUUUGCAAAUGGAACAGGAGAAAAUCUCUGCAUCUUGAAGGCUCUGACAGUUUUCCAGACUGAAACUGCAAGUGGAACAGCCUUCUCUUUGAAAUCCUGAGGAUUUUUUUUGCCUUAGCAUCAUUGGAUCACUUCUUGGAUGCUAACCAGCAGCUUCACUGGCUCUGAAUGGGCUCCAGCUCUCCAAGAGGCUGUGGACAGAGUUUCUGGAUGUCUCCAUGGGCUGAUGGUAGACAGGUCUGUGGUUGUGUGCCUGCAGUAAAGUGGUGAAACCUAGCCUUCUGACCAGCCUGCUCUCUUUCUCAGGCCAGCUAAUCUCAUGCUUAUUAUAGGCUGUUUGAGAUGUUGCAGGAUAAGCCACUUCUUUUCACGUAUUUUCAUUUGUAAAUUCACUCUGUGCCUGGACAUCUCUUUUGUGUGUGUGUUUGGAAAUCAGUGGUUCAAUUUAAAACUAUUCAGUAUGAUGUCUUGUCAAGGUUCAUGCCCUCCAAAACAGCAGCCUUGUUUUAAUGCUCCAGUUCCUUUAGGUUUCUCUCCAAAUACCAUUAAUUCUCUAGAAAAUCGGCAGGCAUAUCUGUAAUUAUAUAGACUAUACAGAAGUAUAUGUAAAGGUAUCUGAGUGCAUUAGGCCAGAUAUUAGGAAUAAAUAGGAUGACCACCUGUUUAGCAUUCAGCUUCACCUAUCUAAACGAUAAUUUUCAUUUGUACUGUGGUUGUGACAUUUAAAUCAAUGCCCACAAAAUAAAAUUGCUUUGUUUAAUAAUC